rnacentral:rRNA from 1 species
GGAGUUAGCCGGUGCUUCUUCUGUGAGUGAUGUCCUUCCUGCCGGCUAUUAACCCGCAGGCCUUCUUCCUCACUGAAAGUGCUUUACAACCCGAAGGCCUUCUUCACACACGCGGCAUGGCUGGAUCAGGGUUGCCCCCAUUGUCCAAUAUUCCCCACUGCUGCCUCCCGUAGGAGUCUGGGCCGUGUCUCAGUCCCAGUGUGGCUGAUCAUCCUCUCAGACCAGCUACGGAUCGUCGCCUUGGUGAGCCGUUACCUCACCAACCAGCUAAUCCGACAUAGGCUCAUCCGAUAGCGCGAGGCCCGAAGGUCCCCCGCUUUCCCCCGUAGGGCGUAUGCGGUAUUAGCCUGGGUUUCCCCAGGUUAUCCCCCACUACCCGGGCAGAUUCCUAUGCAUUACUCACCCGUCCGCCGCUCGCCACCAGGGAGCAAGCUCCCCGUGCUGCCGCUCGACUUGCAUGUGUUAGGCCUGCCGCCAGCGUUCAAUCUGAGCCAGAAUCGAACCCUGA